rnacentral:rRNA from 1 species
UACGUAGGGUGCAAGCGUUAAUCGGAAUUACUGGGCGUAAAGCGUGCGCAGGCGGUUGUGCAAGACCGAUGUGAAAUCCCCCGGGCUUAACCUGGGAAUGGCAUUGGUGACUGCACGGCUAGAGUGUGUCAGAGGGGGGGUAGAAUUCCACGUGUAGCAGUGAAAUGCGUAGAGAUGUGGAGGAAUACCGAUGGCGAAGGCAG